UUGCCCGUUUCCGUCACCGAAGAACCUCGCUGCCGUCGCCAGAGAACUCUUCUGUUGAUCCACCGGAGCUUCUGGCCGCUGCCGGAGCUGUUGUCGGGCCGGUUCGAAAUCACAGUUGCCUCAUUGUGUUAUUUCGGUAAGAAAUUAUGUUUCAAACAAUCUCGCGUUAGUAUUCUGUUGUGUUUGGUUAAUAAAUAUGAGUCUUGGUAACGUGGGAUCGAGUCCUGAUUAUUAUAUGUUACGAUUAGUGUUGCUUUGGUUAUUGCGAAAGUGGCUGGGAGCUGAGGUUUUGGUUGUCGUCAGUUCGGGUUGA